rnacentral:lncRNA from 1 species
UCCACCUUCUGUAGAUUUUAGGAAGCAUCCAUCCAACCCAACAACUGGCCUGCACCCAGCCUUAAACCCUUCCUUACAAGCCCCUAUGCAGAUGUACAAUCUCUUAAAAGUAUGUCCCGAACCUUCGAUUUGGACUGUACUGCCUGGAUUUGUUCUCUUCAAUUCCUCACCGUAAUCCCAUAAAAUUUUGUACUGCUCAGCUACAAUCCCAUUAAUAACUUCUGCACAUUUCGAUCUUGUCCUGUAGAACUGAUGCUUUGAAAUCUCAUACAUGCAGUCCGCUUUCACAGUCUCCAUAAAACUACUCAUUGGAAUGUUUGGAUCAGACCUAAAUUUUCUCACGUACUUCUUUGCCAGAAAACCUGAAUUAACC